GGAGGGAUGGCAGAGUGGUCGAAUGCGCCGGACUCGAAAUCCGGUAUACGGUCAAACGUAUCCAGGGUUCGAAUCCCUGUUCCUCCGCCA
rnacentral:tRNA from 1 species